CUACGGGACGCAGCAGUGGGGAAUAUUGCACAAUGGGCGCAAGCCUGAUGCAGCAACGCCGCGUGAGGGACGAAGGCCUUCGGGUUGUAAACCUCUUUUAGCAGGGAAGAAGCGAAAGUGACGGUACCUGCAGAAAAAGCACCGGCUAACUACGUGCCAGCAGCCGCGGUAAUACGUAGGGUGCAAGCGUUGUCCGGAAUUAUUGGACGUAAAGAGCUCGUAGGCGGUUUGUCACGUCUGCUGUGAAAUUUCGAGGCUCAACCUCGAACUUGCAGUGGGUACGGGCAGGCUAGAGUGCGGUAGGGGAGAUGGGAAUUCCUGGUGUAGCGGUGGAAUGCGCAGAUAUCAGGAGGAACACCAAUGGCGAAGGCACAUCUCUGGGCCGUAACUGACGCUGAGGAGCGAAAGCGUGGGGAGCAAACAGGAUUAGAUACCCCAGUAGUC
rnacentral:rRNA from 1 species